rfam:Angiostrongylus cantonensis strain Taiwan genome assembly, scaffold: ACAC_contig0006229
GGUCGCGUGGCGCAAUGGAUAACGCGUCUGCCUGCGGAGCAGGAGAUUACAGGUUCCAAUCCUGCCAUCGCCG